rnacentral:rRNA from 1 species
AACGAACGCUGGCGGCAGGCCUAACACAUGCAAGUCGAGCGCGCCCUUCGGGGUGAGCGGCGGACGGGUGAGUAACGCGUGGGAACGUGCCCUUCUCUGCGGAAUAGCCUCGGGAAACUGAGAGUAAUACCGCAUACGCCCUUUGGGGGAAAGAUUUAUCGGAGAAGGAUCGGCCCGCGUUGGAUUAGGUAGUUGGUGGGGUAAUGGCCCACCAAGCCGACGAUCCAUAGCUGGUUUGAGGGGAUGAUCAGCCACACUGGGACUGAGACACGGCCCAGACUCCUACGGGAGGCAGCAGUGGGGAAUCUUAGACAAUGGGGGCAACCCUGAUCUAGCCAUGCCGCGUGAGUGAUGAAGGCCUUAGGGUUGUAAAGCUCUUUCAGCUGGGAAGAUAAUGACGGUACCAGCAGAAGAAGCCCCGGCUAACUCCGUG